AGUGAACGCUGGCGGUAGGCCUAACACAUGCAAGUCGAACGGCAGCACAGUAAGAGCUUGCUCUUACGGGUGGCGAGUGGCGGACGGGUGAGGAAUACAUCGGAAUCUACUUUUUCGUGGGGGAUAACGUAGGGAAACUUACGCUAAUACCGCAUACGACCUACGGGUGAAAGCAGGGGAUCUUCGGACCUUGCGCGAUUGAAUGAGCCGAUGUCGGAUUAGCUAGUUGGCGGGGUAAAGGCCCACCAAGGCGACGAUCCGUAGCUGGUCUGAGAGGAUGAUCAGCCACCCUGGAAGUGAGACACGGUCCAGACUCCUACGGGAGGCAGCAGUGGGGAAUAUUGGACAAUGGGCGCAAGCCUGAUCCAGCCAUACCGCGUGGGUGAAGAAGGCGUUCGGGUUGUAAAGCCCUUUUGUUGGGAAAGAAAAGCAGCAGGUUAAUACCCCGCUGUUCUGACGGUACCCAAAGAAUAAGCACCGGCUAACUUCGUG
rnacentral:rRNA from 1 species